GACGAACGCUGGCGGCGUGCUUAACACAUGCAAGUCGAACGGAAAGGCCCUGCUUGCAGGGUACUCGAGUGGCGAACGGGUGAGUAACACGUGGGUGAUCUGCCCUGCACUUCGGGAUAAGCUUGGGAAACUGGGUCUAAUACCGGAUAGGACCGCACUUUAGUGUGUGUGGUGGAAAGUUUUUUCGGUGUAGGAUGAGCUCGCGGCCUAUCAGCUUGUUGGUGGGGUAAUGGCCUACCAAGGCGGCGACGGGUAGCCGGCCUGAGAGGGUGUACGGCCACAUUGGGACUGAGAUACGGCCCAGACUCCUACGGGAGGCAGCAGUGGGGAAUAUUGCACAAGGGGCGCAAGCCUGAUGCAGCGACGCCGCGUGGGGGAUGAAGGCCUUCGGGUUGUAAACUCCUUUCGCUAGGGACGAAGCUUUUUGUGACGGUACCUAGAGAAGAAGCACCGGCUAACUACGUG
rnacentral:rRNA from 1 species